ACUGUCGGCGGAGGGGAAAAAAAAACAGCUGCAUGACGGCAGAGCAGAGACAGAUGGAAGCAAAACAGCCAAACCAAUAAAUGAUAAACAAAUCCAAGAAAUCUUAACGAGCUCCACGUGUUUUGUAGGCACUUUGAGCUUUGCUUCCCGGUUUUUAUCCCCCCACCUAACCUUUUGGACGUUGUAGUUCUCUACAUGCCCACCAGAUGUUCCUCCCGCUCACUGCAGCAGCUGCAGCCCAUUACUUAUUCACACUCACUUCUUCUUCCCCACAGGAGGAGCUGUGUGCUGCCAGACGCAUUGCUUCAGGAGAAAAUCCUGCGCUUGCCGACAACCAGUUAAUCAAAGAACUCGAUAUUAAACGCGGCUGCUGCUGCAGUGCAGACAGACGCUGAUGAGAACAGAGGAGGAAAUACGAGUAAAUGAAUUUUCUAAGGAUUUGUUUUUUUUUUUUUAGUGCUCAUUUCACAAGUCAAGGUAAGUGAAGAAUCAAAAAGUUGAUUUAACUUAAUAUAAACUUCACAUUCACUUAGGUGACUCAUCCACCGCAGGGAGACGAGCAUUUGCUGUAGCUGCAGGGGGUCCGGCUUCAUCUGACAAAGUGAGAAAAUCAAAACAGAUUUUUUCUUUUUUUUUUCCCAGAGUAAAUAACUAAUUUAUCUUUCAGACGCUGGAAGACCGAACGGAUAAAAGAUAUCACUAAAUCUGGUGGAUUUCUUCAAGCAAACGCCAAAAGUGAGAGAGGUUGAUGUAUUCGACGCUGCUGCUACUUAUAAACGCACUUAACUUUAUACAGAAAGCAGUGAUUCAAAGAACAGAAAAUUCAGUUUUUGGAGGAACUUUUACCAAAAAGAAAAAAAAUCGACAACAAAUCCCAAAGCACCUCACGACCUUUACGAUCGAAGGGCCAUUUCUGCCUUCAGUCCAGGCAAAAUAAAGUCAUUUAGAGACACCAAUGUAACGUGAUCUUUGACAACUUAUAACUUCAUAUAGACAGAAAAAGCAACAGAAAGAAAUAUGUUUAGGCUUUCAAGUACAGAACAACACGCAUUUUGCUUAAAGGGGACAUUUUCAUCUAUUGUAUGUAAAUUAUGAAAAAUUUACUUUUAGUGUCGUUCUGAAUAACAGAAAAGCUGAAAAACUGCUAAAAACUUUAAUUUAUUAAAUUGACAUUCAUUCAAUAAUUUAGAUUCUGUGUUACAAUGAGGGUCUGCAUCAGAUUAAAAACACCUAGUAAAACUAAUAUUAACCCUAAUAAUAAAUUAUAUGCUACUCAUUCUAAUCUGAAACGACUUGUUUUUAUUGACUGCCAGCAAAAAAAUCCUCAUAAAUAAAAGAAAAUUGACAUCAGUGUGUGUGUAUUUAAUAUAUUUAUUUUGCUUCACUUAUUGAGCUGAGUUAGUAAUAUGAAUAAGCAUUUCAAUGAUGUUCUAACUUAUUGAAUAUGACUAUAUAUUUAAAACAUACAAGUUGAGAGCAAAAUGCAACUGAGAACCUGUGCGGUUACCAUCUGCCCUCUGUUCAGUCUGACUAAACUUCAGCUGAUUUGUGCAAAACGAUGAAAAAAAAACAACUUAUAACUUUGUGUCAUUCCCCAUCAACGUCCAUAUUUUGCACUUCUUUCUGUAGAUUCCCUAAAAACCUUAAAGAAUGAAUGAAAUGCCGCCGUCUUCAACGCGACAGAAAUAUUUUGAAGAACUUGUAUUUUUAUAUUUAAAGCAAUAUUUCAGCAGACCAGCUCUUGCUGCCGUUGUAUUCCUUUAUAAAGUCCUCCGUUGGGUCAAAUUGUUUCCACAGAAGAAGAAAUUCAAGUAAUCCAAGGUGGCGGGCGGUGGUGACAUUGAGACAAAGAGGAAAAAGGAAGCAAUCACACAGACAGGUUGCAGAUGGCAGCACAGAGAGAGCAGAACCUGAGAAAAUUAAAUAUACCACUGUUCCUGAAGUCAAGCAGGGUGCAGAUACACACACACACACCAACACACACACAUACACACACACCCCGCCUGGUUUGGGGCCAAAUUAGGAAGCUAACUUUCUCCUCUGGUGGGCGCGGCGGAGGCUGAUGACUCACUCGCAUUAAUCUUUCUGACGCUGCUCUCCAGCAGCGGCGAAAGAAGCCAACUGGAGCUUUCCCAUAAGAAAGUUCAAGUAAUGCGUUCUGAUUCUCGCCUUACAAAGCCAUUUUUCAGACUAUGUCACUUAUGAGACCAUGAGUAGGUGAUUCAAGGGGGCAGCAGAGAGGAAAAAGGAGAAAGCGAAGUUGGGGAGAUUAUGAGCAAAGCGGGAACAGGAAGGAAACCUGGGCUGCGGAAGGAGAAGAGAGCUGGCUCAUCUCGGCUACAAAUCCUGGCCUGCUCCGGCGCCUGCGUGCCAAACAAGAGGGAACAAGUGACAGGAAAGUGUUGCAUCUCCUCCGAUGGAGCUCCAAAGUUUAACUUCGCCUUCAGCUUCUCAACUUAUGCAACAAGCACAUUUCAGUGAAGGGUUUAUAAUUUAACCAGGGGGCCGAAGGAUUGGGGUCAGGGUAGCAGCGAACACCAAAACACUCCUACAACAAUCCUGCAGGACACGCCAACACACGCGUACACACCGAGGAGGUCCUGGAUGCUUCGGCUUCCGUGGUUAAAAAUAAAAAUCGACACGAUUUAUUGGUUUUCCGUCUCUAACUGCACACUUAUUGUUGAUGUUUUCGCAGGAAUCUACGAGCGCUUUGUAGAUGCAGGAUGUUGUGGGCAUUUGCCACCUCUCAUUUCGUUUCGUAGCCAAGUUUGCGCUUGAAUUCAAGGAUAAAGGCAAGGUUUCCGCACAGAUGGUAUUUCAGACGCACCUCGCAAACCAAAUUCCAUCAAGUUAUUAAUUCUCACGUUUCAGUGUUGCCUGUGGCCACCAGAGCUGACGCCCGCGAAGACGAUGAGGCGCUCCUGGCUGCAGUCGUCAUUUUAGGUGAGGAUGCAUGGGCUUUGGCGGCGCGUUAGCAGCACAGCAGAUGGGCUAGGGAUUUUUUUUUCUUUCUAAGGCGGAUGAGCGACAGAACGCCGGUGGGAGGAUGUUUCUAUCUUGCUCUCGCUGCUGCCUAAUCGGUUAUUUUCUCAAUCUGUUGCUUCGCGUCUCCUUGUCUGUCUGCAUUUGUCUAUAAGUUGCAGUGCAGGGGGGGGAGAUCAUUUCAGCACAUGGGGCCGCAGGGCGAUGAGAAAGCACAAAGAAACUGACAAUCACAAUAACAUCACCGCUGCGUUAGCAUGCAUUACCUCGGCAACUCGGGCUUUCACGUUUUCCCAGCUCUGCGUACGAUAAAGGGGUUUGUCGUACUUCAUUGUUGCAAAGGUUUACGCUUGGUCAUGCCCUAAAUGCACCUCGAGUAAAAUGAUUUCUUUGAUUUAAAAGACUUAAUCUAGAGGUUUUUGAAACAGCUCAUAUUUCAGACACCAAAAAAAUAAUAAAAUUUUUUACUUAUUGCUGGAAAAACGGAUGGACUUUUUAAGCACUUUCUAGAAGCAGUAAAAAAAGUGUAAAUUUGCAUAAAACGUCUCCUAUAAUAUCUGGAAAUCUAAAAUACUCUCUUAAAUGGUAAAACAAAAACUAUAAAACACCGAGGAUAAUACAAACGCAAACAGCGUGUGUAAUACAUGCAGGCAUUUUUCUCUCAACGUCAGCUAAUCUUGGAUGUAAAUCUUGCUUCAAAUACAAAACUGACGUGUGUGUGUGCGUGUGCUACUUCACCUACUAUUAUUUGACCUGUGAUUUUAUAGUUUUUCUGGUCAAAUUUAAUGUGCUUGGCAGCUGCAAUCUAAAUUUACCACAAGAUUAGAAGCCGCCCAUCUCGUCUAAAAGUGCACAUAAAAUCUCUCUUUUUCUGCCAGCUGUUUGUUUGCAACCAAACUUUCAAGGUUCUUAACUUCAGGGAGGGAAACCCCCCCCCCCCCAAAAAAAACAACUUGUUCUAUCACUGACAAGGCUCCAUCUCCGCUAAUGAAAUCACUGAAUCCAGUCCAAGAGGCUGCCGAACCUGGAGGGAGGCCAGGAACAUCACUUUCAUCUUGUUUCACUUUAACUCUGUCAUCCCUUCUUUUCAUUUUCAACAAACUACUUUGUGAGUGUGCCAGACAUGCCAUCUCUUUUCUUAGAGGCUGAUGUUUGGGAUGUAUUGUUUUUCACUAAAUGGUGCGCCACUCUGUGACAUCGCUGGGCUUUAAAUGAGAUUUUGCAUGACGACGUCUUAUAGCAUUUUCCCAUCCAGGUAGGGAACAUUUGGCUUUACCUCAACCUGAUGGCAGUCAUAAAAUAUUUACUCUGAUCAGUAAAAGAUAAUGUACCUUAACGUUGGAGGAACUUGGGACUUUAGAGGAUUAAUAAUUAUACAAUAAAAAGUCAAGAUGUGUAGCAGUUUAAAAGAUUAGUAAGACAGUUUUGCAAUGCUUAGGUGUGAAACAUACACUGCAAAAAAAACACAAAAUCUCACCAAGUCUUUUUUGGUCUAGUCUCUAGGGCAAAUAUCUUAAGCGUGCUUGAAAUGUGACAAAUAUAACUGACAAGUAACUUUU